rnacentral:rRNA from 1 species
UACGGGGGGGGCAAGCGUUGUUCGGAAUUACUGGGCGUAAAGGGCUCGUAGGCGGCCAACUAAGUCGGACGUGAAAUCCCCAGGCUCAACCUGGGAACUGCGUCCGAUACUGGAUGGCUUGAAUUCGGGAGAGGGAUGCAGAAUUCCAGGUGUAGCGGUGAAAUGCGUAGAGAUCCGGAGGAACACCAGCGGCGAAGGCGGCAUCCUGGACUGGUCCUGACACUCAGGAGCGAAAGCGUGGGGAGCGAUCCGG